ACGGUAUUUUUUAAAAUCCUACCCUGCGCAAUUAAAAUGCAGGACGUUGCCCAUUAUCCUAUAGGCUAUGGGAACCGUUGUCCACAAGGUCCACGCGCAAAAUGCUACAACACAGUCCCCUGCCAUGAAUGCUACGACCAGAGCUGGCGGUGCGAGUUCCAACAUGACCAAGAUGCCCGAUGUCACCAAGAACAACAACAUUGCCAAAGGAGCCAGUGCAUCCUUGCAGUCCAGYUCGGUUGCGCUCAUCAUACCCAUCAUGAAAGGCAGUCAUGUGCGCUCCUAACCGAAGAGAUUCGGUGGGUUCCGUGCUGGACGAGAACCCAUUUCUACUUCACUGAUGGGAGUUAUUUGCCCUCACACCUUCAAACCAGUAGGCCUUCACACCUCGCACACUGGCCCCAUGCUCAUAGGCCGAACGGUACGGUCCUCUCCCUGGAGGCAGUCCAUGAUGAGGAUGCACUCUGCUCUUUGAACCGUUUGGUCGACACCAGGGGGUUGCUUAGUAAUUUGUUAAGAAGUUAACAUAUCUAAAGAAAUGUUGGUUGAGGCACUUUGAAARUAAGGUAUAAAUGAAUCUGUGGCACAUGCACAGGCUUGAUGUACACUUGUGAUAUAUUUCUAGAAUAUGAAAUUGUAUGGGUUAGCAUGUGAGAUUUGAUUGUAUAAAUCAUGAUGUGAUAUGCUUAGAUUUGUUAAGGCCAGGCUCAAUUAACCUUUAAAAUGUAGGAUACUUGUGACCAUUUUCUUGUGUAAUAAAAAUAUUUUAACAUGAUGUUUCUUCUCCUGUCUCUAAAUUCUAAAGCUUGACCUGACAAGUAAUUUGCUCUGUUCCCACUUUGUGUCCAGCCCUUUAUUGAUCAC
rnacentral:lncRNA from 1 species